rnacentral:lncRNA from 1 species
AGAUUUCCCUUCUCCUCUCCUCCAUCAAAUUUCCACCGCCGCCACCUGCCACAAUUCCUCGCAACUCUCACCACCAAGCCGCCUUCGUCGCGCCGGCCACCACCGAGAUAUGUCACCUCUCUUUUCCUUCACCAUGAUUCCCCCGCCAGCCCUCCGAUCUGCCGACUCCCCAAAAUUGAUUUGGGGAAAAUCAGAAAUCGCCGGCCGCCGCCACCUGCCACCUCCAUCUAAUUCCCUCCAUUUCGCUUCUCCACACAGGACUUUUCCCCCACCCCGCUGCGAUUAUAUGAUAUUUGGCGUCUCCAGACCAGACUCCCCUUCCUCCCGCUGUAUUUCGCCGCAGUCCGGCCUCAAGUCAGCACUGCCGUCCCUCUAACCGUCCUUGGGAGUUGUGGCGAAUUCAAUCUGCCUCUUCCACCUUCUCCGAUACCACCUCCAUUUCCAUCCCCCCGGCGAUCUGCCCUCCCGGCUUCCCCCCUACCUACAGAUUCCGGCGGUCGCGAAGGGCUCAAGACCACGGCCGGCUAUGGUAAGUUUUUUAUUUUUGCUUAUUUAACAAAAAUAAGCAAAUCAUAUCAUGCUAAUUAAUUUUCGGUUGCUGCAAACUAUUUAAAUAUAGAAUGAUUGUAAAGUUUAGAAAGAAAUUUUUUUGGAAAGAAUUUUAUCAAAGGAAACUUAAACCCUAGAUUUUUAUCUAUAAAUUCAUUUGAUAGAAUUAUUAACGCCACAUCCUGUUAUCCGAUUCAUAGCUGCGGUACUCUUCUUCUGCGAUUCACCUUUUAUUUAUAUUGUCCAGUUUUUAGGUUUAGAUUUUGUUAAUUAACUCUAUGUGUUUGCUUUAAUUCGCAGUCGUUCAACCUUGCCUUCCCUUCCUGAAAACUCGCCACUGUCCCUGUGCCGUCGUCGGAGACCCCUCUGCCUCGACGAACAAGGCAGCCACCCCGGGCUCUCACAAGUGAAAGGAGAGUAUCACACAAACAGGUAAACUCUCCAAGUAGCAGAUCCCUUAUGAGCCGAAUUCCAU